GGGCUUUCAUGGGCUGCAUGGGUUCCCCAGUUGGGAUACAGAGGGCUGGGCAGCCCUUCAAUGUAGAACAGACAGGGCUCCUAGGGCAGAGUGGAAAAGGGAAAAGUGAAUCUAGGGGAUCCACGGAAGACAGCUGACACAUUGCCUCAACGACUUUGUGCUUCUAAACCUGCCACAUAAAGUGGGCACUAAAUACUAACCAGAACACAUUUUUAAACACAGAGUCUUCCCAUUAAUGAUUCCCUGUCUUUAACUACUUCUGUUUCCUUUAGCUAUUACUUAUACCUAAGCCAAUGCUCAUGGUACAACUCUCCUCCAAUUCUGCAAAUAUUCCUGGUACAAAAUGCCUUCUUUCUAGACUGCUGCAAUGGAACACAUUUUGUAGGCCUCUCUAGGUUUCAGUGGGGUGAGAAAAAACAUAGAUCCAAUGACUUUGAGGUCGACAGCAGAGACAGCUGAUGCCAGAGAUUCAUGUUUCCCUUCUAUCAUGUAUCUUUGAUAGUGGGAAGGAGCUGCCCAUUCAGGGACUACAUUUCCCAGUCUAGCUUUCUUCUACAUGGCAGUCAGGUGACUGUUUCUGGCCAAUGAAAUGAUAGCAAAAGUGAUAUAUAUGUGUGUGUGUGUGUGUGUGUGUGUGUGUGUGUGUGCGCGCGCGCGCGCGCGCACGAAUAUGCGCAUGCGCUUGCCUCUCUAGCGCCAAGGCAGUUGGUUAAGUAUGUGGUGUGCCCUCAUGCUCACUCUCCCUUUCACAGAGAGCCAUGUGUGAAGAUGGUGGUGUCACAAGGUGGAAAAACUGUAUUCGCCAAAUUACCACUUACAUGAAAGCCAGCCUGACAAGAAAUAUCCACAUUUUGAAGACUCCAGAUGAAACACUGGCUUUUCCAGGGUCUCAGGCUUACUAGCUUUUGAACUGAAAUUAUACCACUGGCUCUCCUGGUUCUCCAGUUUUUGGACUCACACUGAAACUACCCCAUCGGAUCUCCUGGGUCUCCAGCUUACUGAUUGCCGAUCUUGUGACUUGUCAGCCUUCACAAUCAUGUGAGCCAAUUCUUUAUAAUAAGUAAACAAACAAAUGUAUAUACACACACAUCGGUUGGUCCUGUUUCUCUGGUUAACCCUGACUAAUG
rnacentral:lncRNA from 13 species